UACUUCUUCGGACAAUAUACAAGGUGCUGCAUGGUUGUCGUCAGCUCGUGCUGUGAAGUGUGGGUUAAGUCCCGCAACGAGCGCAACCCCUGCUGCCUGUUGCCACCACGAGAGGUGGGGACGUCAGGCGGGACCGCCGGUGACAAACCGGAGGAAGUGGGGACGACGUCAAGUCAUCAUGGCCCUUAUGUCCUGGGCUACACACGUGCUACAAUGGCCGGUACAGAGCGCAGCGAGGCCGCGAGGCGGAGCGAAUCGCUUAAAGCCGGUCCCAGUACGGAUUGGAGUCUGCAACCCGACUCCAUGAAGUUGGAAUCGCUAGUAAUCGCGCAUCAGCAUGGCGCGGUGAAUACGUUCCCGGGCCUU
rnacentral:rRNA from 1 species